AUAAUGAUACUCCCGUCCAGCCACAGCCCUGCAAAACAGGAUCACGCAAUGGGGGCGGCUCUGUGAGAACCACAGUUGGGGUGAGAGUCCCGUG
rnacentral:ncRNA from 1 species